AUUGAACGCUGGCGGCAGGCUUAACACAUGCAAGUCGAGCGGGGUGAUGGUGCUUGCACUAUCACUUAGCGGCGGACGGGUGAGUAAUGCUUAGGAAUCUGCCUAUUAGUGGGGGACAACAUCUCGAAAGGGAUGCUAAUACCGCAUACGUCCUACGGGAGAAAGCAGGGGAUCACUUGUGACCUUGCGCUAAUAGAUGAGCCUAAGUCGGAUUAGCUAGUUGGUGGGGUAAAGGCCUACCAAGGCGACGAUCUGUACCGGGUCUGAGAGGAUGAUCCGCAACGCUGGGACUGGGACACGGCCCGGACUCCUACGGGAGGCAGCAGUGGGGAAUAUUGGACAAUGGGGGGAACCCUGAUCCAGCCAUGCCGCGUGUGUGAAGAAGGCCUUAUGGUUGUAAAGCACUUUAAGCGAGGAGGAGGCUCUUUUGGUUAAUACCCAAGAUGAGUGGACGUUACUCGCAGAAUAAGCACCGGCUAACUCUGUGCCAGCCGCCGCCGUAA
rnacentral:rRNA from 1 species